rnacentral:rRNA from 1 species
UACGUAGGAGGCGAGCGUUGUCCGGAAUUACUGGGCGUAAAGAGCGCGUAGGCGGCACGGUACGACCGGUGUGAAAGCCCCCAGCUCAACUGGGGAGGGUCAGCGGUAACGGCCGUGCUACGAGUGCAGGAGAGGGAAGUGGAACUCCGGGAGUAGCGGUGAAAUGCGUAGAGACCCGGAGGAACACCAGUGGCGAAGGCGGCUUCCUGGUCUGCGACUGACGCUGUGGCGCGAAAGCUAGGGGAGCAAACGGG